rnacentral:lncRNA from 1 species
UAGAAGACUUAAUUAAUGUGCGUGUAGAAAAUAUACAUAAAAAAAAACGUGGUGAAAAUUUUGCAAAACCAUAAAAGGGAACAUAAACCAAAUAAAAACAAUUUUAAAAGUGUUGUGGCUGCAAAGACAAAAACUUAAAAACCAACCCCUGGAUAAGGUACGCAAAGAAAAAAAUGAAAAAGUGACCUUAUUACAUAAUUCCAUGUAUGUACUGUACAUAGGUUAUGAUCCACGUGUGGCAGGAAAUUGCUGACCUGGCCUGACCCUCGGUCUCGGAGGGGGUCCGCUCCAGUACCACGAUCAUCAGUCCUUCUUUAUGGUGCCACCGGACCUUGCCUGCAGGCCGAGAAAUGGAUGGACUUGGCGAUCGGGACCGAGUUGUUUAUAUAUCUUGUAUAUAUCUCACGCGCAACUAAGCCGCUCAACAACAACGAUAAUAUAAAACCAUCUAAUAUAUUAUAUCACCGCGCCUUGUGUAAAGAAAAUGUGGGUGCUUGCACCCACUCGGAAUAUGAACUCCGAUACUGGCAUCCUCGGAUCGCCGUCAAAGCUCAGUCCCCAUCUCCUUAUUUGCACCGGCUCCUGCCUGGCCUCUCCGUAACUGGGACGACUCCUAUUUACAUUUGCCUGAGCUCCAGGGCCCCUUGCGUUGAACAGUUUGUCGGUUGUGCCUGUUGGUUCGCGGGUAUUUCCUGCGGACCUCCUCCAAGACUGGUGUAGUGUGAUCCUCUAUUUCCUUUAUCCGCGUCGCUGAGUGUCUGCUCCGCUUUCAGCGAGCCGAAACUGUUGGCCAAACGAUGCUCUAUACGUCUCCUGAGCCUGAGCUAUCGCCACAUUUACGGCCGAUAUCACUUCGCUGGGUAUCUCGCGGUCUAUGUAACUUGGUGGGUGGCCUCCUACAGCCCCCUCUUCCGGAUCUUCCAGUCCCAUCACCGCCCUUUCUGGUCUUGUGCCGGUUUUCCCGUCCUGGGACCUAGUAGUCGGCAUCCUGUAUGUCUGGAACCUUCUCUGAACCUCCGGGCUUCGCCUCGUUUUCCCCGACCCGUUGAAUUCCACCGGGUCACUCAUACACCAA